AUGUUUGCUUGUGUAUUGAGAAAGGAACAGAGGGCAAAUGCUUUGCAGUGUAAUUUCUGGGUUGUAUUUCUUUCCAUCCUGUAUUCUCCUUCUUGUGCCUUUGCAGGGAGAGGACAUGGGACCAUUUCCACCAUACUGCCAUUGCAGAGUCCCAUCUGUCCAGCAAGGGAGCAUAAAAAGAAGCAAGGUCGAAAGUAUGCUUCCCAUGAGUGCAAGGAGUUUGGCGCCUGUUCUGACGACCAUAUCUCCACCUCCUGUUCUUCAACCACCUAUGAAGAAUCUUUCGUUUCCAGCAUUGAAUCAUCUUCAGACCUGCUUGAGUUCUCCUUCAGCAGCUCAGAGUAUAGCAGCACAGAUUCCAUUGGGGUCAGCAGAAGGCGCAAGAAAAAGGCACGGAGAAAGCAGAGAAGGGCCAGGUCUAAGCUAAGGUCCAAGCGCGUCAUGUGCAAACAGGGCGGAUCCAGUGAAGCCCAGCAGGCCCUAUUUGAAGCCAUGCCCAUUCCCUUCAUGGAGGAGGAGGUGAUCGUAAAACUAGACUCUCACUGCAUGGUCAAGAGAACGCAGCACCUGAUGGGACUGCCCUCGACCCUCCUCCGGUCCCUCAGGACCUUCAUGCCUCCUGCUCCAGACUCUGGUUCCCGGAGGUGCCGGCAGGAAACAAAAGUGCUAAUGAGAGUUCAUGCUUCCUCUUUUCUGGCGAAGGAGACCAUGAAUAAACUGGAGCGGCAUUUGAAGAAAAUGAUCCUGCAGAAGGCUUGGCAGCUGCCCAGAACCGUGCAAGAGGCCAUCUGGCACUUUGAGUCCAGGGAGGAGAAGGCUCCUUUGAUCAUCUCUGUUCAGGACAGAAGGGGAAGAUCGCCCACCAGAUCUGGAACCUUGAGCUCCAAGACAGCUUGGGCUUAUAGAGGAGACCUCCAGGCCCACACGGUGAAGACAUCCAUCUGGAUGAAACAAGAGAGCCUCACUGUGCAGAUCGAUGCAGGAUGGAGGCACCUGCUCCUGCCCAGGCUUAUUCCCCCCGGUCAGAGCUACCUUCAGCCAAGGAGCAGCCUGUGCGUGAGCCUUCGGGGGAAAGCAGAUGUUGUGGAGAUGAACAUCAAGUGCAAACGCCUUCACUUCAUGUGGGGUCUCCCAACCAUCCAGAUGCAGUCCCUGGCCAAGAUGGUGCCCAGACCCCCUCCACUGCCAGCUGAAUGGCCCUCUCGGGCGCCCACGCACCGUGAGUUUUGCCGCAUCGAACCCUCCUUCAUAGCCCCCAAGGCGAGGCAGGGUUUGGAGGCCCAUGUCCUCAGGAAGAGGCUCCAGCACCACUGGGGACAGCCUGGCCUCGUUCAAAGGUCUCUGAAGAGGCUCCUGUUGCCUGUCCCGGCAUCACGGCCCCGCUCGGCCCCCAUGACCACUGCCCAGUGGGAAAUGCAGAUAGGUAUUAGCAUCAAUGACAUCACUUUCAUCCAGCGGGAAGUGAAGGGACGCCUUGAGGUCCACCUCAGGAGGAAGAUUAUAGAGAGGUAUUGGGGUCGACCCAGGAGAGUACUGGAGUCCCUGAAGAUGUUCUACAUCAUCUCCUUUUCACCCAUGAAGAGAUUCAGAGAGGAUGGAGGGAGCUUUGUGUUACCUCAGCUAGACUCCAUGAAGACGAAACAGACUUCCCUAAUGAUGCAGAGAUUUUCUCAGAAGACUGAAGUCCCUUCAAGGAAACUCUGGGAAGAGAAGUCACUUCGAGUCCACUUGGCCAAGAAAGCUGUGGAGAUCCAGCUGGGCAGAGUUCCUCUGGCAGCACAGCAACCUUGCAAAGGGGCCCCUCGGGCGCUCCCCAAAAGAAUUCCUCCUGGAAUGAGGUCUCUGCAGCCAAGGUCCCGGGAGCUCCUCUUUGUGGACCGGGCCGCGCUGGAUCGUAUCCAGCUUAACAUUGUGCACAAAGAGGUGGCCUACCGAUGGGGGCUGCCUACCAUAUACCACAGGUCCCUUGCCCGACUGCUCCAGGGUGCUGCCUUCCCAACGACCUUUGGCACUCUCUUCCCCAGAAGGCAGGGCAGGUCCAGCUUCACUGCCCAGGAGACCCCUUUCAUUAAUGUGGAAUCCCGGAAUCUGUUGGAGCAGCAUGUGAGGAGCAAGGCCUUGCAACACACAUGGGGCCUCCCGAGGCUGAUCCAGAGAUCUCUCCGGCGCCUCCUUCCAGACACUGCCCGUAUUUGCCCCCAGAAGACCAAAUACAGGGAACGGGUGGCUGUUCGCCUGACUGAGCUCUCCUUCAUCAGCAAAGACACUCAAGCCUUGCUGGAGAAAAACGUGGCCCAGAGGGUCAUCCAUAAGCAGUGGGGUUUGCCCACAAGGGUCCUCAAUUCACUCAGGUUGCUGUUCCCUGAAACCAGAAGAAGCACCUUCCUUGAAAGGAUAAGGAAUGAGGAUACAGCCUUACAUCAGACCAGGUGUUGCCACAGACUAAAGGAUGCAGUCUUGGCGACCUUGAGGUGCCAUUUGACGAAGAAAUCUUUGGAAAUCCAUCUGGGAUCUUUCCCUCUCAUCACCACCAUCUCCUGGCAAUGCUCCUUGCGGGCCCUGAGGCGGCCUCUUCCGAAGCUCAUCCGUCCCGGGGUUAGGCCACUGGAACCCUGUAUCCCCUUCCACUUAUUCGGCCUACAGGAGAUGGGCAGGAUUGAAUUGAGUGUACGGUGUAGACGCUUGGCUUCCCUCUGGGGACUGGGGACAAAGUAUGUCAAGGCCAUUGCUGGAAUGGAGGCACCCAGGAUGCCCUUUGCUCCACUCCGGACAAGAAGAGCCAUCCUUGAAUUUGAAGGCACAGAAAUACGCUUCCUACAGAGGACCUCCAAGGAGAUUUUAGAACAGCAUGUGAAGAAGAAGAGGGUGCAGCAUGAGUGGGGACUUCCUUCUCUUGUGCAAAGAUCUCUCCGGGGCCUUAUGAAAGAAACACCCUCCUUGCCUCAUGGUCCUAAGACUUUGACUCAGACCUUUGUGCCAUCACAGGAGAUGCUUUUCCUUCCAAAGUCUGUCUGCCACCACCUGGAGAUCCACAUCCAGAAAAUGAAGCUGCAGCGCCAGUGGGGUCUACCCCGGAGGAUCCUUGAAUCUGCCAAAAUCUUCCUCCCACUUUCUCCCCCAGGAAAGGGUCCAGUUCCUCAGAGGGUCAAGAGGAAGGAGUCUGUGAGGGCAGUGUCCCGCAUCAGAGAAGAGAAGGUGGACCACAAAAGAUGGACUCUGGACAAAGGGACACCCCUACCAAGCCAAAGUAGUCUGCAUGACCGCUUGAGGGGGAGUCCUCUUGAGACCCAUCUGAAGAAGAAGGCUCUGGAUGUUGAAUUCCAAUCUGGGAGAUUUUCUGAGUCUCCCAAGCAAAGCCUUCUCCCCAAGCCUGCCUUGGUUUCUUCAGAAUUAAGACCCAGAAAGUCUUCCUUAUAUUCUGUGGAACAGAAAGCUCUGAGGAAGAUCCAGCUGAACAUCAAGCAGAAGCACCUAACCAGCCUUUGGGGCCUUCCCACUGUAUAUAUAGAGUCCCUGAAUGAGAUGUUUGGAGGAGAUCCAGAGAGACCCUGGUCUCGAACGACCAUAGGAAUAAGAGCAUCAUCUGGAGUAUCCAUAUAUCAAAAGGAAGGGACAGCAUACUCCACAAUUUCAGAAGUAACAGGCAGUGAGUCCUCUAAGCGAGGGCCAGCUUUCAUCCCAAGAAAGGCCCUGAAAAUUCUGGAAAUGCAUGUCCAACGUAAGAAGCUGCAACAUGAGUGGGGUUUGCCUGUCACUGUUCAAAAAUCCCUUCGUGCAUUAGUUCCAGCUCCCCCAGAAGCAGAAAGGUCUUUUCUGAGAACGAGCCCUGCCACCUUGUUCCCUCGGGAUGAAGUAACAUGGAGGACAAGUGCAUCUGAGAGCAUGCCCUUUGAUCCUGAGAUGACAAGGACCCUAGAGUCUCAUGUGAGGAGUCGGACCACAUCACACAAGUGGCACCUUCCUUCACGGGUGCAGGACUCCCUGAAGGCCUUUCUGCCCCCUGCCUCAUUCUCCCAAGAUAAAGGGGCCAUUGCUCGAUCCCACUUCCCCCGGCCCUUCGACCAAUCCAGGAUAGGAGCCACUGUAAAGCCAAAGGAGACCAUCCGGCAAAGGACACCACGUGCAACUGCACAACCCGGCCUUGGAAGGGUAACCUUCCCUUGUCCCGAGGAGAAGCCCUCUUUCCUCACAGAAGAAGCCUGGAACCUUCUGGAGUUCCAUGUUGUGCACAAGAGGAUCCAGCAUGCCUGGGCCCUGCCGUCCUGUGUGGUGAGGUCCUUGCGCCAUUUUGCUCCAUUUCCACAUCCUCCAGAGAGAGAGGCAAGAGAAAGCACGAGCAAAACAAAGCCACGGGAGAGGACAGAAGUGAAAGCCAUCCUCCAGAAUUACGUUUCCCUCAGCCCCAAGAGGAAGGAUUUCUUCGAAGCUCAUGUGAGAAGCAUGGUUGCAAAACACAGAUGGAGGAUUCCAAAGCAGAUUCACAGGUCAACAAAAGAGUUCACACUCCUCAGACCGGCUUCCAGGUCCAAGCGGGAUCCAUCACUUCCUGUCAAAUGGGAUAAGUCCAAAUCUUUCCAUGGGGCAACAGAUGAUUCGCAAACAGAAGGUGAGAAAGAAUACACACAAAGAAAGGCCAAGUCCUGGAGGAGGUCAAAGAGAAAGCAAGAUGCCUCCUCUCAAAGGACAAGACCCUUGAGCGAUAAAGCAUCUGCAUCCUUAAGGCCUGAGGCAAACCUGCCUUUCUUGUCAGCCGAGGCUAGGGAUUUUCUGGAGUUCCACAUUCAACACAAGAGAAUCCAACAUGCCUGGGGUCUUCCCUCCAAGGUGACGCAGUCCCUGCAUAUGUUCUCCCCAUUUCUUCUCAAGAAGGAGAAAUAUGCCGGACACAGUGUGGCCAAGACAUGCUCACAGGAGAAAGGAGAAGUAAAGACUGUGCUUCCAAGUCUCCCUUUCCUCAGCUCUAAAGCACAGGAGCGUUUGAGUUCCCACUUGACCCAUAUAAUCAGAGAACACAGGUGGGGCCUCCCGGAACGGAUUCAUAAGUCCCUGAAGGCGUUUCAGUCUCCAAGAGCCUCUUCUCGAUCUAGGAUUGAUCCAACACUGCCUAGAGAUGGCCAUGAAGAAGCACAGCAAGAGAAACUCCACCAUAAAAGGCAGAGGGCAACAACUGCUUCUAGACACGUUGAAGGAAGGGCUUCCUCAAAUAGCAGUAUGAAGAUUCCAUUUCUCAGCACGGAGACCUGGAACCGUCUGGAGUUCCACAUUGUACACAAGAGAAUCCAACAUGCCUGGGGUCUUCCCUCCAAGGUGAUGCAGUCCCUACAGAUAUUCUCCCCAUUUCUUCUCAAGGAGAAGAAAUAUGCAGAACAGAGUGUAGCCAAGACGCACACAAAGGACACAGAAGAAGUGGAGGUUGUACCUCCCAGUGUCCCUUUCCUCAGCAAUAAAGCACAGGAGCGCUUGAGUGACCACCUGAGCCAUACAAUUGCAGAACACAGGUGGGGCCACCCGGAACGGGUUCAUAAGUCCCUGAAGGCAUUUCAGUCUCUGAAAGCCCCUUCUCGAUCUAGGAUUGAUCCACCACAGCCUCUUUUUUAUUGCCAGUGUAAGACCAUCAAGGGGGCUAUGGAUGGCUUCCAGUCUAAAGAUACAGAAAUGCUGCAUAAGAAAUUCCACCAUAAAAGGCAGCAGGCAACAACUGCUUCUAGACAUGUUGAAGGAAGGGCUUCUUCAGAUAGCAUGGUGAAAAUUCCAUUUUUCACUACUGAGGCCUGGAACCUUCUGGAGUUCCACAUUAUACACAAGAGAAUCCAACACGCUUGGGGUCUUCCCUCCAAGGUGAUGCAGUCCCUGCAUAUAUUCUCCCCAUUUCUUCUCAAGGAGAAUGAAUCCGCAGGACAGAGUGUGGCCAAGACACACACACAGGAGAGAGAAGAAGUGGAGGUUGUGCCUCCGAGCCGCCCUUUCCUCAGCUCUAAAGCACAGGAGCGUUUGAGUUCCCACCUGAGCCAUAGGAUCGCGGAGCACAAGUGGGGCCUCUCAAAACGGGCUCAGCAGUCCAUGCGUGCUUUUGCACCACAUCCUCCCCAACCACAAAGAAGAUCCCCACAAGCCACUUCUGAGAGUUCGGAAACAUCAGGAAAUAUGAGUGAUACUAUCCAGGUACCAGAAACAGUGGAAGACUUUCUGACCCUGUAUUGCCUCCUUCGUUAUUUGAAUGCAGACAUGCAGAAUUGCCUAAAAGAGCAUUUGAGGAAGUGGGUCAUGGAAUACAAGUGGGCACUUCCCAAGCAUAUUCAGAUCUUAUUGGAGGACAUGCCUCCUCCUACUCUGCAGGAAUCCCACACUGGAGGAAAACUGCACGAAGAGGAAUCCUGCCAAUGGUACGACAUUUGCUCUGAGAGAAAGGGAGAUUCACAGCCCUUUGUCCAAUCCAGAAAAAGAGCCACGGCGAAGCAAAGGGCACUAGGAAGAACUGCACAAUCUGGCUCUGGAGGGGUAGCCUUCCCUUGUCCUGAGAAGAAGCCCUCUUUCCUCACGGAAGAAGCUUGGAAUUGUCUGGAAUUCCAUGUUGUGCACAAGAGAAUCCAACAUGCAUGGGGUCUUCCCUCCAAGGUGACACAGUCCUUGAGCAUGUUCUCCCCAUUUCUUCUCAAGAAGAAAGAACACGCAGGGCAGAAUGUGGGCAAGGCAUGCUCACAGGAGAGAGGAGAUGUGAAGAUCAUGACUCUGAAUCUCCCUUUCCUCAGUCUUGAUGCACAAGCUGACUUGAAUGCCCACCUGAACCGUAAGAUUGCAGAGCACAAGUGGGGCCUUCCAGAACGGGUUCAGAAGUUCCUGAAGGCAUUUCGACCUCCAAGAACAGCAACCUCUCAAGAAGAUGAUGAAGGAACACCUUGUGGCAGUGCUUAUACUGAUUAUGACCAAGGUUCUGCAGUGUCAGAUGCUACAUUUCCAAUGGAUACAGAAAAGGAAUGGCAUUCCAGCCGAAAAGAACAGAGCAUCUACCAGACGGAGACAUUUGAUGAAAUAGGCCAGGACAGACGGGAGCUUGCUUGGCUGGGCGCUGAAGAGCCUUGCUUCUCUUCUGACACUGAAAGCACCCAAGUCAGAGCAAGCCAAGGGACAAGAGUCAGCUGGAAGACUGAAAAGGAAAUCUCUGAACCAAGCGAACACCAAGAGAAAUCUGUCUUGGAUUUCCAUCUCAAGAGAACCUCUCAAGGGCAGUCUCAGCUUUCAUCUGGAACCUACAGCUCAUCUGAGAGCCGAUCCAGCUCCCUGGAUGUAAAAUACAAAACUCUAACGAGAGCUGGGAGCACAGCAUCGAUCUCUUACUUUUCCAAGAGAUCAGAAAGGAGUAACACAAGGAUUGAGGUAAUGGCGGACAAUAGACACCACCCAGUUGGACUGUGGCAACCACUCGGACCAUCAACGUCAAAAGACAUAAAAGACAUUGGAGAAACAGAACAAUCCAUUAUGACCCCUGAGUGUUCUUGUUCGUGCCAUUCGCUAGGUUGCAGGAAAGACUCUGUGCCUUCUUUACCAUCAGGUGUAGAACAAACCUGGCAGUGGGAGCAGAAAGAGGGAGUCCGGGGAAAGGUCGAGUGGAGAACGGCUUCCUCUUCUCUGCUGUCAAAGCCUCCCAGUCGGCAGAUUUCUCUUUCCUCCCUAGAAGAGGGCAGGAGGGCUCCUUGUCUCUCAGGGCAGGGCAGCGCAUCGGAGAACCUUUCAAGCUCCCUGCAGGUCGAAUGCACAACUAUGACCUUUGCAGAGAGAAAAGAGUCCAUAUCUUGGUUUUCCAAGAGGUCAGAAAGGAGUAACAAAAAGCCCUUUGAAGCCCAACAGGACACGGCUUCCAGUCAUGGAGAAACGGAUCUUGCCCUCUUGCCAUCUUCUCAUGUUGAGCCUCAGUCUUCCUAUGAGGAUCUCGUAGGGAGGAACUACCGGAGGGCAAAGAGCGAGAAGCGUGACCAAUCAAGCGCCAGGCAAAGGCAAAGGAGAAGAAGUAGGCUUCGGUGGAGUCGAGUGAGGGGGAAGGCAUCGCCCUGCCAAAUCCUAGGAGACAUUGCCACAACUUUGGAGGCAUGGCCCUUAGCAUCUCCUUCAGCCAGAGAUCGAGCAGAAGGGUCCUGUGAUUCAGCUUCCAUAGAGCAAUGCUCUUCCAAGUCUCCCCAAAGUCUGGAAGAAAGAGAGGUCUCUUGCAUCCAGAAGCAAGUGCUCCAAGGAGGCAUCCAAGCUUCUGAGGGAGGUAAGGAGGUCUUCUUUGAGGGUGUUGGAAACUUGGGACAGUCCUCAGGAAACCUAGCCCAUACUCACAACUAUGUGAUGGCUCUCAAACCCAGAGCGAUGAAGAGGGGAAGGGAGGCAGGGGAGGAAGGAGGAGGAUGCCAGAAUCUCCCCUCGUUAGGAAUGGUGCCAUUCUUGGUCUGCAGAGGGAACAUCCGAAUUCAGCAGAUGUUGAACUCAGCAGAGAUGGAAAGUGUAGGAGAUAGGGACAAUGAUGAGGAAGAUGUAUAUAUGUGUAUUAAAUGGGAUGGGAAGGCUGCUGCAUCAUUGUACAGGGGAAAUAAUUUAUUAUUUAUGAUUUCUUAUUUAUGA
ensembl:lncRNA